rnacentral:rRNA from 1 species
GAUGAACGCUGGCGGCGUGCCUAAUACAUGCAAGUCGAGCGAACAGAUAAGGCGCUUGCUCCUUUGACGUUAGCGGCGGACGGGUGAGUAACACGUGGAUAACCUACCUAUAAGACUGGGAUAACUUCGGGAAACCGGCGCUAAUACCGGAUAACAUCUUGAACCGCAUGGUUCAAUAGUGAAAGGCGGCUUUGCUGUCACUUCUAGCUGGAUCCGAGCCGUAUUAGCUAGUUGGUAAGGUAACGGCUUACCAAGGCAACGAUACGUAGCCGACCUGCGAGAGUGAUCGGCGACACUGGAAGUGAGACACGGUCCAGACUCCUACGGGAGGCAGCAGUAUGGAAUCGGCCGCAGUGGGCGAGAGCCUGACGGAGCAACGCCGCGUGAGUGAUGAAGGUGUUCGGAGCGUGAAACUCUGUUAUCAGGGAAGAACAAAUGUGUAAGUAACUGUGCACAGCUUGACGGUACCUGAUCAGAAAGCCACGGCUAACUACGUG